UUUGCCAAUAAAUCAGAAAGUCAGAUAAGGAAAGUCAGCUGGAUGUUAACAGGCUUCUUUUACAUUUAUUCUACAUAUUUUUCAGCAUCGAGCAGCAAAAUCUGGCAGUUUUGCAUAAAUUUGUUCCUGAUUAGAUGAUCAAGAAACACUAAGCAACAGUGAAUGAGCAUGGAAAACGUGACCUCUGGCUACAGCUCACACAAGACAGACACACCAAGGUUUAAUGGGAAUGAACUAAUAAAUACAAAGAGGGAAGGAAUAUAAAUGGGGCUGGGUGAUCAAUUAAUUUUAUCUUUUAACUCAAUUUUCUAUGCCUGAAGAUCUCCAUUUUUUCUUUUCACCGAUGAACUUUUUUACAGUUCAGAGGAAAAGUCACCAUCUUUUGCUAGAAGAGUGUUUGUUACAGCUUCUGUUUGUUGUGACUUUAAAGUCAGGCCAAUUCACCAAUAUUUAAAAUGUGUUCGGUCAUUUGUAAUUUUUUCAUUAUGGAAAAAAGUAAGAA